AUUGAACGCUGGCGGCAGGCUUAACACAUGCAAGUCGAGCGGUAACAGGAGAAGCUUGCUUCUUGCUGACGAGCGGCGGACGGGUGAGUAAUACUUAGGAAUCUGCCCAGUAGUGGGGGAUAGCACGGGGAAACUCGUAUUAAUACCGCAUACACCCUACGGGGAAAAGGGGGCGCUUGCGCUCUCGCUAUUGGAUGAGCCUAAGUCGGAUUAGCUAGUUGGUGGGGUAAAGGCCUACCAAGGCGACGAUCUGUAGCUGGUCUGAGAGGAUGAUCAGCCACACCGGGACUGAGACACGGCCCGGACUCCUACGGGAGGCAGCAGUGGGGAAUAUUGGACAAUGGGGGCAACCCUGAUCCAGCCAUGCCGCGUGUGUGAAGAAGGCCUUUUGGUUGUAAAGCACUUUAAGCAGUGAAGAAGACUCUAUGGUUAAUACCCAUAGACGAUGACAUUAGCUGCAGAAUAAGCACCGGCUAACUCUGUGCCAGCAGCCGCGGUAAU
rnacentral:rRNA from 1 species